CAAGUCGAACGAACUCUGGUAUUGAUUGGUGCUUGCAUCAUGAUUUACAUUUGAGUGAGUGGCGAACUGGUGAGUAACACGUGGGAAACCUGCCCAGAAGCGGGGGAUAACACCUGGAAACAGAUGCUAAUACCGCAUAACAACUUGGACCGCAUGGUCCGAGUUUGAAAGAUGGCUUCGGCUAUCACUUUUGGAUGGUCCCGCGGCGUAUUAGCUAGAUGGUGGGGUAACGGCUCACCAUGGCAAUGAUACGUAGCCGACCUGAGAGGGUAAUCGGCCACAUUGGGACUGAGACACGGCCCAAACUCCUACGGGAGGCAGCAGUAGGGAAUCUUCCACAAUGGACGAAAGUCUGAUGGAGCAACGCCGCGUGAGUGAAGAAGGGUUUCGGCUCGUAAAACUCUGUUGUUAAAGAAGAACAUAUCUGAGAGUAACUGUUCAGGUAUUGACGGUAUUUAACCAGAAAGCCACGGCUAACUACGUGCCAGCAGCCGCGGUAAUACGUAGGUGGCAAGCGUUGUCCGGAUUUAUUGGGCGUAAAGCGAGCGCAGGCGGUUUUUUAAGUCUGAUGUGAAAGCCUUCGGCUCAACCGAAGAAGUGCAUCGGAAACUGGGAAACUUGAGUGCAGAAGAGGACAGUGGAACUCCAUGUGUAGCGGUGAAAUGCGUAGAUAUAUGGAAGAACACCAGUGGCGAAGGCGGCUGUCUGGUCUGUAACUGACGCUGAGGCUCGAAAGUAUGGGUAGCAAACAGGAUUAGAUACCCUGGUAGUCCAUACCGUAAACGAUGAAUGCUAAGUGUUGGAGGGUUUCCGCCCUUCAGUGCUGCAGCUAACGCAUUAAGCAUUCCGCCUGGGGAGUACGGCCGCAAGGCUGAAACUCAAAGGAAUUGACGGGGGCCCGCACAAGCGGUGGAGCAUGUGGUUUAAUUCGAAGCUACGCGAAGAACCUUACCAGGUCUUGACAUACUAUGCAAAUCUAAGAGAUUAGACGUUCCCUUCGGGGACAUGGAUACAGGUGGUGCAUGGUUGUCGUCAGCUCGUGUCGUGAGAUGUUGGGUUAAGUCCCGCAACGAGCGCAACCCUUAUUAUCAGUUGCCAGCAUUAAGUUGGGCACUCUGGUGAGACUGCCGGUGACAAACCGGAGGAAGGUGGGGAUGACGUCAAAUCAUCAUGCCCCUUAUGACCUGGGCUACACACGUGCUACAAUGGAUGGUACAACGAGUUGCGAACUCGCGAGAGUAAGCUAAUCUCUUAAAGCCAUUCUCAGUUCGGAUUGUAGGCUGCAACUCGCCUACAUGAAGUCGGAAUCGCUAGUAAUCGCGGAUCAGCAUGCCGCGGUGAAUACGUUCCCGGGCCUUGUACACACCGCCCGUCACACCAUGAGAGUUUGUAACACCCAAAGUCGGUGGGGUAACCUUUUAGGAACCAGCCGCCUAAGG
rnacentral:rRNA from 2 species